GCCACUAUGGUGUAGUGGUUUGAAUGUUGGAUUAUGACUCUGGAGACCAGGGUUCGAUUCCCUGGUUGGCA